AUUGAACGCUGGCGGCAUGCCUUACACAUGCAAGUCGAACGGUAACAGGUCUUCGGAUGCUGACGAGUGGCGGACGGGGGAGUAAUACAUCGGAACGUGCCCGAUCGUGGGGGGUAACGAAGCGAAAGCUUUGCUAAUACCGCAUAAGAUCUACGGUUGAAAGCAGGGGACCGCAAGGCCUUGCGCGAACGGAGCGGCCGAUGGCAGAUUAGGUAGUUGGUGGGAUAAAAGCUUACAAAGACGACGAUAUGUAGCUGUUCUGAGAGGACGACCGGCCACAAGGAGUCGUAUAGACGUCCCUCACUCCUAGGUGAGGCAGCAGUGGGUAUUUUUGGCAAAUGGGCGAAGCCUUGAUCCAUCCAUGCGUCGGACAGUAUGAAGCCCUUCGUGUGUUAAACUGCUUUUGUACGGAACGAAAACACUCUGUUUAAGUCCUGAGGUCUUUGACGGUACCGUAAGAAAAAGCACCGGCUACCUACUU
rnacentral:rRNA from 1 species